AACUAAAAAGGAACACUGAGAGCAAUGGG
rnacentral:piRNA from 1 species